rnacentral:rRNA from 1 species
CAGCCGCCACGGUAAUACAGAGGGUGCGAGCGUUAAUCGGAUUUACUGGGCGUAAAGCGUGCGUAGGCGGCUUCUUAAGUCGGAUGUGAAAUCCCUGAGCUUAACUUAGGAAUUGCAUUCGAUACUGGGAAGCUAGAGUAUGGGAGAGGAUGGUAGAAUUCCAGGUGUAGCGGUGAAAUGCGUAGAGAUCUGGAGGAAUACCGAUGGCGAAGGCAGCCAUCUGGCCUAAUACUGACGCUGAGGUACGAAAGCAUGGGGAGCAAACAGGAUUAGAGACCCGCGUAGUCCCUGUCUCUUAUAA